UUUCUCACUCCAUGUCCACAGUGGCUUUCCAUUCCCUGGUGGUAAGCCAAGGCAGAGGAAAUCCAGCCAGCCACUGUCCCCAGCAUGGUCCCUCCCCAGAUCAUUCCUGCCAGGCAGACUGGGAAUCACCCUCAUGCUGGGAUUGUUGAGUUUUCCUGGUGGUUAGGGGCUUUUAUAGCCUUUCACUGCCAGUUCUGUUCAACUGCUAAAUGGUUCACUCCAGCUAAAGAGGCACCUGGGAGAAGUUUGGUGUUUACCCAAGGCACAGCUUGGUGUUCCAGCCCAACCUCUGGCUCCUGUGGGGAAUAUUUACAGCUGCCAGCAGGAGGGUCCAGCUCAGAGCAAGCUCCUGCAGGGGGUUUGUCCAUUCUGUCAGCAUCAGAGGAGCUGGGAAGUGCAGAAUUGGAAUGUGAAAAAUGUCAAGUGUGAUACAAGAACCUUUUAUGUAAGAGAAUCACAGAAUCACAGAGUGAACUGGGUUGGAAAAGAGCUUUGAGAUCAUCGAGUCUGACCUAUGACCUAAGACCUCAUCAACUAAACCCUGGCACUGAGUGCCAUGUCCAGGUUCUUUUUAAACUGUUCUGUUUGGAAAUAAACUUUUGCUUUAAAACUUUUGACCUGUGAGU
rnacentral:lncRNA from 1 species